rnacentral:rRNA from 1 species
GACGAACGCUGGCGGCGUGCCUAAUACAUGCAAGUAGAACGCUGAAGGAGGAGCUUGCUUCUCUGGAUGAGUUGCGAACGGGUGAGUAACGCGUAGGUAACCUGCCUGGUAGCGGGGGAUAACUAUUGGAAACGAUAGCUAAUACCGCAUAAUAGUAGAUGUUGCAUGACAUUUGCUUAAAAGGUGCAAUUGCAUCACUACCAGAUGGACCUGCGUUGUAUUAGCUAGUUGGUGAGGUAACGGCUCACCAAGGCAACGAUACAUAGCCGACCUGAGAGGGUGAUCGGCCACACUGGGACUGAGACACGGCACAGACUCCUACGGGAGGCAGCAGUAGGGAAUCUUCGGCAAUGGACGGAAGUCUGACCGAGCAACGCCGCGGGAGUGAAGAAGGUUUUCGGAUCGUAAAGCUCUGUUGUAAGAGAAGAAAGAGUGUGAGAGUGGAAAGUUCACACUGUGACGGUAUCUUACCAGAAAGGGACGGCUAACUACGUG